CGGCCACUUUCAAGCUGAUUUAAAUCAGAAUUUAAGUUCAAGCUGAUUUAAAUCUGAAUCAAAUUUUCGACACCAAUGCGAUAGAUAGCAUGAAUCAGGAUACAGUUUUGUUUUCACGGGAGUCUAAUGCAAUCUGUUCAUCAUAUGUUUCUCCAGCAACAUCUGCGAAUGCAUUUCUGAAUUUAUCUAAUAUUGUAAUAACUCCUGCAGUGCCUAAGCAGCCUAGGCCUAGAUGCUAACAAACGGAGACGCAAAGACGGUCUCUUCAAACCAGUUAUUGCUCAUACAAUAAUGAAGCACUUCAUGAUUACGUGGAAAGGGAUAGUGAAUGCAAGAUCUUAAAGAAAAAGUUUUGAUGAUAAUGGUUAUUUGUCGAACGGCGAUAAAAAUGCAUUGACAAGAAGAAUCAUUAUCAGGGAGCGAGACUAUUGCAUUCAAAAUUUUGGCCUUCCAUUGAGAAAAUUCAAAAUCCCAAUAGAAAUAUUUAAAAAAUUAGGCGCAAAAAUUAGCGAAAUAUUCCAUGAAAAUGUAAAUGUUUAUUCCAUUCCGCACUCAAACUUUAAUGGGGAGAGUGUAAACUCUACAGGCAAAUUAUGGAAUGCCUACAACAACUUUAAAAAACUGCGUUCCGAUAGAAUGCUCCUUGCCAAAAAACAAUUUGAAAUUGAAAGGCCAGAGUAAAUAGAAACAUAGCUAAUGCUGGAUUUUGAUCGACUCCAUCCAGGGAAACCCAUUGCUCAUCAAGUUCUUUGGAGACCAAUGUGUUAGCGGAUCCUGUACGUGAUACAAACAAUUAAGAAAUGCAGCUCAGUGGACAACCAAGUGCUUGUCCGUGACAUCGAUCAAUUGCCAGUUGAGAAUCAAGAUGCAGUGGCAUUAUUUUUAUUUAAAAUGCUGAUGGCACUCACGCAGAUGCAGUAUGGCAAGAGACAAACAAAACGGAAAACGAAUGAGCGUGAAUGUGUUUCAGUGAACCACAGAAAUAAGAAAUUUUCGUCUCAAGAAAUACAGGAAGGUUUCAUCCUAUAAGUCCAGAAUGCCACCGACAUACAUAAGGCUUUAAAGGAAAAGCGUGAUAAGCUGUAUGAAAAAAAGACUACGAUUGCAGCCUCUUAUUCUAUUUCUGGGGCCAAUUAGAAGCUUAGAAUAGGUCUAUGUUGUUGUAGACGAAAAAAAGAUAUCGCGUUGCUUCACGCCUGAAAGCUGUGGAUGUAGCUUUCAAACUUUUUUACGCCGUAGAUAUUCAGUACUCAAUUUCAGCGUAUGGUGUUUAGUUAAAAUUUCAAAAAUUGGUGUACAAAAUUAACAAAACAGAAAUGUGCUGCGUGCAAAUUCACUUAUUAAUUAGCGACAUUGAAACAGGUAUAUCAAAAAGCGGCAGCGACAAAUAAUAAUGGAAAAUAUAAUUGCAUUAUGGUUAUUAUAAUUUUUGUUGAUUUAAUAAUGUAAAUUAAUCAUGAGUUGUGCAAUGAAGAUAUAGCUAAUCCUUGGGAGGCUUAUUUAAUACAUUUAAAAACAGAUACUUUCAAUUUUUUCUGCUCUUUACAAGCACAGCGAUAUAGUAAGGAAAAGAGUACAAAAUAUUAUGGAAGACUGUAUAACUUCUACUGACGAAAAAGCAAUACAUUUAUUUGAAAGUUUUACAUUAAAUCGCUUUUAAGAAUUAGGUGAAACUCCGGAAAAUAAUAAUAAAAUUAAAUCAAUGUUCGAAAAAUUGAAAAAUCCUUUUGUUGGACUGCAUUCAGAAUACUUGCGCUUCAAACAUUUCGAAAAUGGUGGAAACUAUAUUCCCCCUGAACAGGAUAAGCAUUCCGGUGUAUGCUACGUUUAUAUCACUGCGUCGUAUUUUAACUCGGUUUUUUUAGCUGCCUCAUGUCUUUAAUAAAACUAUGGCUUAUUUAGAAAAGGUAAAUUCAAACGCAAAUAUUAUUUCUAAUUUUGGACAAGGGGAAUUCUGGGAAGAAAAAAUUUGCGAAGAAAAUCGUGUUUUUACGAAAAAAGUUGUUUUCAAAAGAAUGAUCAGUGAACUACAGAUUUAAGAAAAAGUGGGAAUUAGCAUCGAUCAAACCACUGGGUAUGCUUUCGUUGAAACUUUCCAUACCGAUUUAUUUUAAUUCAUAGAAAUGAGAUUAAUAUCACUUUUUCUGAAAAAUGCUGCUUUCUCAGAGACAAAAAAAAACUAUCAAACGGGUUUAAUACAAAAUAAAUUAUCAUUGACUGGUAUUAAAGAGGAAUGUACUUUUCACACAAGCCAAUAGGAAGAUUUUUAAGUAACAAAGAAUGUCGGGGUUGACUGGAUGCAUGCCGGACUCGAGGAAGUUUUUCCACGUGAUAUAGCAAAAGUUUUAUCUUUUUACAACCGAAUUUUGAAACUAUUUAAACUAGAUGAUUUAAAUAAUAGAAUCAAUGGUUUCCAUUAUGGUCCAAAUGACAGUCGAAAUAAGCCUCCGUAAGUGAUGGAACAGCAUUUAGAAGAUGGACGCUUAUCAAUGAACGCAUCUGAAAUGCUAAACCUAAUUAGAAAUCUUGGUAGCUUAGUAGUUCAAAUACGGUAAAGCUAUUGUGUAGACUGCAUGUUUAACGUUUAAAUCCCAAAUAUAAAAUUAGAAAGGAACCAAUUCAGUUUUUGAUAAAACGGCUGAAGUUGCAAUAAAAUGUUUAAUAAAAAUUUGUUUUAAAGAAUGCUCAUUUUUUUAAAGAUACAAUGAAACUACGUCUGGUUUAAUACCAAUGCAU